rnacentral:rRNA from 1 species
CAGGCGUGAUUUAANUUUGAUUGAAAGCCNCGGNUCAACCGUGGAAGGUCAUUGNAAACUGGAUCACUUGAGUGCAGAAGAGGAAAGUGGAAUUCCAUGUGUAGCGGUGAAAUGCGUAGAUAUAUGGAGGAACACCAGUGGCGAAGGCGACUUUCUGGUCUGUAACUGACGCUGAGGCUCGAAAGCAUGGGGAGCAAACAGGAUUAGAUACCCUGGUAGUCCAUGCCGUAAACGAUGAGUGCUAAGUGUUGGAGGGUUUCCACCCUUCAGUGCUGGAGUUAACGCAAUAAGCACUCCGCCUGGGGAGUACGACCGCAAGGUUGAAACUCAAAGGAAUUGACGGGGACCCGCACAAGCGGU